UGCAUCUGCAGCCUAUGAGGAUGAGAACCUCCGGGGGCAGGGAGGUUCGACUCGAGCGAAGCGAGAGAACGUUGCGCCAGCAACGGCCCGCAGGGCGAGCCACGAAGUGGCGAGUAAUCCUCUAUCACCGACCA
rnacentral:sRNA from 1 species